UACGAAGGUGGCUAGCGUUGCUCGGAAUUACUGGGCGUAAAGGGCGCGUAGGCGGACUGUUUAGUCAGAGGUGAAAGCCCAGGGCUCAACCUUGGAAUUGCCUUUGAUACUGGCAGUCUUGAGUACGGAAGAGGUAUGUGGAACUCCGAGUGUAGAGGUGAAAUUCGUAGAUAUUCGGAAGAACACCAGUGGCGAAGGCGACAUACUGGUCCGUUACUGACGCUGAGGCUCGAAAGCGUGGGGAGCGAACAGG
rnacentral:rRNA from 1 species